rnacentral:rRNA from 1 species
GUAAGGGCAUACGAUGGAUGCCUUGGUACCAGGAGUCGAUGAAGGACGUGAUAAGCUGCGAUAAGCCUCGGGUAGCUGCAAGUGAGCUUCGAUCCGAGGAUUUCCGAAUGGGGCAACCCAGUUGGGGUAAUGCCCAACUAUGCGCAUCUGAAUACAUAGGAUGCGAAGGACAACCGGGGGAAUUGAAACAUCUUAGUACCCCGAGGAAGAGAAAGAAAUUUCGAUUCCCUUAGUAGCGGCGAGCGAAGAGGGAAGAGCCCAAACCCAUCGGGCGUGAUAGCCUGCAGGCGUUUCUCGGUGGGGGUUGUAGGGGUUAUCAGGUUUUUCUGCAGAAGAACCAGAGAGUUACAAAGUCGAUAUUUAGCUGAAAGACUUGGAACAGUCUGUCACAGAGGGUGAAAACCCCGUAAGCGAAAGGUAUCGAUCUCUCAAUAACUUCCUAAGUACGGCGGGACACGAGAAAUCCUGUCGGAAUCUGCGAGGACCACCUCGCAAGGCUAAAUACUCCCUGGUGACCGAUAGCGAACUAGUACCGUGAGGGAAAGGUGAAAAGCACCCCGGGAGGGGAGUGAAAUAGUACCUGAAAUCGUAUGCUUACAAGCAGUUCGAGCCCCGACUUGUCGGGGUGAGAGCGUGCCUUUUGUAGAAUGAGCCGGCGAGUUACUGGUAUCUAGCAAGGUUAAGCCGUAUGGUGGAGCCGCAGCGAAAGCAAGUCUGAAUAGGGCGAUUAGUUAGAUGCCGUAGACCUGAAGCCGAGUGAUCUAUCCAUGGCCAGGGUGAAGCUCCGGUAAAACGGAGUGGAGGCCCGAACCCACCAGCGUUGAAAAGCUGGGGGAUGAGCUGUGGAUCGGAGUGAAAGGCUAAUCAAACUCGGUAAUAUCUGGUUCUCCUCGAAAUAGCUUUAGGGCUAGCCUCAAGCGUUUAGUUUUGGUGGUAGAGCACUGAUUGGACUAGGGGCCCUCACAGGUUACCAAACCCAGUCAAACUCCGAAUACCAAAACUUUAGAGCUUGGGAGUCAGACUAUGGGGGCUAAGCUCCUUAGUCGAAAGGGAAACAGCCCAGACCGUCAGCUAAGGUCCCUAAGUAUGAACUAAGUGGAAAAGGAAGUGGAAGCGCACAGACAGCCAGGAUGUUGGCUUAGAAGCAGCAAUCAUUUGAAGAGUGCGUAAUAGCUCACUGGUUAAGCGAAUCUGCGCCGACAAUUAUCGGGGCUCAAGUUCAUCACCGAAGCUACGGACUUAUCUUUGAUGAGUGGUAGAGGAGCAUUCCCUGUUGGACGAAGUCAAUUCGUGAGGAUUGGUGGACGACAGGGAAGAGCGAAUGCCGGCAUAAGUAGCGAGAGACGGGCGAGAAACCCGUCCGCCGUAAACCCAAGGUUUCCUGGGGAAGGUUAAUCCGCCCAGGGUUAGUCGGGACCUAAGCCGAGGCCGAGAGGCGUAGGCGAUGGACAGCUGGUAGAUAUUCCAGCACCACCGAGUUGCGACUAAGACGUGAUGGGGUGACGCAGUAGGGUAGACCAUGCGCGGCGUUGGUCGUCCGCGUCUAAGCAUGUAGGGGGCCGGAAUAGGUAAAUCCGUUCUGGUAUCAAACCCUGAGGUGUGAUGGCGAGCCGAUUGAGGCGAAGUGGUUGAUCCCACACUGCCAAGAAAAACCUCUAGCGAGCAACUAGGUGCCCGUACCCCAAACCGACACAGGUGGGUGGGGAGAGAAUCCCAAGGCGAUCGAGUGAUCCCUCGUUAAGGAACUCGGCAAAAUUACCCCGUAACUUCGGGAGAAGGGGUCCCUCAUUAGCGUGAUUGCCCUGCGGCAUGAGCGUGAAGAGGGUGCAGUGAAAAGGCCCAAGCGACUGUUUACUAAAAACACAGGUCUCUGCUAAGUCGUAAGACGAUGUAUAGGGGCUGACGCCUGCCCGGUGCCGGAAGGUUACGAGGAGAUGUUAGCGAGUCGUUAAGGCAAGCGAAGCAUUGAAUCUAAGCCCCGGUAAACGGCGGCCGUAACUAUAGACUGGACCACUGUAGUUAUAAAAUCUGGCU